rnacentral:tRNA from 1 species
GGAGAGGUGCCGGAGUGGACGAACGGGACGGAUUCGAAAUCCGUUGUACCUGCAAGGGUACCCAGGGUUCGAAUCCCUGUCUCUCUGCCA